rnacentral:rRNA from 1 species
UACGUAGGGUGCAAGCGUUGUCCGGAAUUAUUGGGCGUAAAGAGCUCGUAGGCGGUUUGUCGCGUCUGCUGUGAAAACCCGAGGCUCAACCUCGGGCCUGCAGUGGGUACGGGCAGACUAGAGUGCGGUAGGGGAGAUUGGAAUUCCUGGUGUAGCGGUGGAAUGCGCAGAUAUCAGGAGGAACACCGAUGGCGAAGGCAGAUCUCUGGGCCGUAACUGACGCUGAGACGCGAAAGCGUGGGGAGCAAACAGG